rnacentral:tRNA from 1 species
UGGCUCUGAUGGUAAAGCAUCUGCCUGCAAUGCAGGAGAACCAGGUUCAACCCCUGG